GACGAACGCUGGCGGCGUGCUUAACACAUGCAAGUCGAACGAUGAACCCGGAGCUUGCUCCGGUGGAUUAGUGGCGAACGGGUGAGUAACACGUGAGUAACCUGCCCUUGACUCUGGGAUAACUGCGGGAAACUGUAGCUAAUACCGGAUACGACCCUCGGCGGCAUCGCCAGGGGGUGGAAAGAAUUUCGGUCAAGGAUGGACUCGCGGCCUAUCAGCUAGUUGGUGAGGUAACGGCUCACCAAGGCGACGACGGGUAGCCGGCCUGAGAGGGGGACCGGCCACACUGGGAAUGGGGAACGGCCCAGACUCCUACGGGAGGGAGCAGUGGGGAAUGUUGCACAAUGGGCGCAAGCCUGAUGCAGCAACGCCGCGUGGGGGAUUGCGGCCUUCGGGUUGUAAACCUCUUUUAGUAGGGAAGAAGCGAAAGUGACGGUACCUGCAGAAAAAGCACCGGCUAACUACGUGCCAGCAGCCGCAGUAA
rnacentral:rRNA from 1 species